GCUGGGUGCAGUGGCUUACACCUGUAAUCCCAGAGACUCAGGAAGCUGAGACAGGAGGAUUGAAUGUUCAUAGCCAGCCUCAG
rnacentral:sRNA from 1 species